UUCUUCUCCUUCUAAAAAAAACUGAAAAAAACCUCUCAAGUUUCUCUCUCCCUCUCUCUCAGCCCAGAAUCCGGCGAGGAGGGUCGCCGUUGACGCCGCCGUGCCGGCCACCGUAGACGGUGGCCAGAAAAUUCAAGAAAGGCAAGUGGCGAUGGGACGUGAGGCGGUGGCGUGACAGUGCUGGUGAAGGCGGCGCCGGAAGACUAAAGGUCUAAAGACCUUAGGUGCGGCGCUAGGGUUUCUUUUCUGAAACCCUAGCUUAGCUUUGAGGGGGUUGGGCCAGUUGGGCCCUGUUUUGGGCUCCGGGUUUGGGCCUACUAUUUUGUUUUUUUGUAAUCUGGACUGGUAUUGGGCCCGGGCGAAAUUUGGGCUAUACAAACAUAACAUGAAUAGCAUAUAUAACUUAUACCCAA